GAGUUUGAUCCUGGCUCAGAAUGAACGCUGGCGGCGUGCUUAACACAUGCAAGUCGAGCGAGGCCGUGGGGGGCAACUCCCAGAGUCGAGCGGCGGGACGGGUGAGUAACACGUGGGUAACCUGCCCGGAAGUGGGGAAUACCUCGGGGAAACUCGAGCUAAUACCGCAUGACAUCUUUGGGACGAAAGUCCUGACGAUCAAAGCGGGGUCGCAAGAUCUCGCGCUACCGGAUGGGCCCGCGCCCGAUUAGCUAGUUGGUGAGGUAACGGCUCACCAAGGCUUCGAUCGGUAACCGGCCUGAGAGGGCGAUCGGUCACACCGGAACUGAGACACGGUCCGGACUCCUACGGGAGGCAGCAGUGGGGAAUCUUGCGCAAUGGGCGAAGCCUGACGCAGCAACGCCGCGUGGAGGAUGAAGGCCUUCGGGUCGUAACCUACUGUCACGGGAACGAACGACGUUCAAGUUAACAG
rnacentral:rRNA from 1 species